ensembl:lncRNA
UUUGUGCACAGCUGCGCUAUGUCGGUAUCUCGGCAAUGGCCGCCAGAUCUCGCGAGAGGUGCUGACGGGACGUGGCAUUGCCGGGGCAACGGCGGGAGGUUUAAACGGCGGAACCGCGGACGUGGCGCUCAAUGACCACGGGCAGCUGCUUGGCAGCCGGCGCUGCUGGAACCGCGACGACGCAUUUCGAGGUACCGUGGGGAUUCGGGAGCCUCCUUCCUCCUCCCCGGGAAACCGGGGAGAGGAGAGUGAACGGCAGCAGCCGCCAUCAGCGGGAGAGAGGCUGACGUGGCGCCGGGGCAGCAGUGACCGCACCCACGGCCUUAGAAGGAGCCUCAGGGAGGAGCGGUUGGCGCGUGUGCGUCACGUGUCAUCCACCCCCAAAAGGGAGCACCUGAGAAUCCCCGAAGCCUCUGACCAAUACAGAAAAUGUUAUGCUGAGGGACAGAGCCAGUAGUUUCAACCAUAGCAGCAGCAGAAGCAAAAGAGAGAACCAGAUUUUGACCGGUCAGAGAGGUGAAGCAUCACCACUGUACAAAUAGGAUCCUCCAGGUUUUUCAAAAGAAGGGGAGGAACAGUUGUAUGUCAGCAGACUGAAGAGGUAUUUGGCAGAGUUUGAAUCAGCUCUAAAGUUGAGCAGUAGCCAAGAGCCGUCCUUCCAGCCCCACACUGUGCAGACCUGGGAGAAAGGAGGAAGUGGUCCUCAUCCUAAGGAAUUUAAACUGUGAGAAAAGUGGUGAUGAGAUACAAGUCAUGCUAAUUUCAAGUGUUAAUGAAGCAGAAUCCAUCCCGAUGUGAAGGAUGGAGGCAAUGGAGCAAAUACCCUGAGAUGUUCUGUCAGACAUUGCCAUGCAACUCCUUCUCUCUGGCAGACGUGUUGCUCUUCAUUAUCACUUUGUCAAUCUGUAUAGCCCUUAGAUACCCAAGGGCAGUAUGGACACAACUUAAAGAUGGAGCAGGUGCUCUGAUGCCUUCUUGAGAAGGAUCACAAACGCUUCCAAGGGAUGUCUCAGUCCCCAUCUUCUGCUGCAGAAUAAGUGUCUCAAGAUCUGUUGUUUGCCGUGCUUCAUCGAGGUCGUUACAAAUGUCUGCUGGAGAGAUAGGAAGUUGUGGAGCAAAUGAGAAGGGACAGCACUGUCCUGUCAUUAACACGUUCAGAAGAAGUCGGAUAUCCCAGCAAGAUCACAGAAUCACAAGAGUUGGAAGGAACCUCAAGAGACUAUUGAAUCCAACCCCCCUGCUAAGGUCUGACCAACAGAAGGAGUGGCUGCAGUGCAUGCUGUGCCUUUAGUGCACUCCUCAACACGGCACCCAGAAAAUCAAAGUGUGGAAACUGACAGAAUAACCAUUGUGUCGCCCUUUAGCAACUAUCUGCUAAAACAUGGAGGUCGUUCUAUGAAGGGCAGCGUGCUGGAAUGCAAACAAGAAUGUGAAGUGUUUUGUAUGAAUGUGGAUUCUUCCAUUCCAAUACUAACUGGCUGUCAGCAGUUCUCUUUGAAGCUGGAGCACACUGGAGCUCAAUCACUGCACAAGGAUUAGAGACUCAUACGUUCUAAGGCAUUAGUAAAAAUAUAUUCCAGGUGGAUUCUGUCUCUUAAAUGCGUCAUUAUUAUUAAGGCAGUAGAGUUUUUUGGCGUGCAAUCUCUUCCAAAGCAUUGACUCAUGGGAGGAAGAGGGAGCAGCUUUUCCUUUUGCUCAGCAUGCAAGCCUCUGAUAAACAGGGUCUGCUGGGAUGUUCUGUCCAAGGAGAUUGAUCAGAGGUGUCGGAGCGAGCUGUGCUCAACUGGGCCUGGCAGCAAAACUGGGAGAGGCUCACAAUGAGGGUGAAAGGGAGGAGGAAAACCAGACGUUCUGCUUUUAUCAUUGUAAUGCCAUAGGGCUUUAAACAGCAAAAUCUGUGCUGGUAGGAAAGCCCAUGCCUAAAUAUCAGUACCAGCUUGGAUGAUAAAUAUGGACUAAGAGAAGGCUCCUAAGUAGAGACUUAAACUGACUGGUAUCCUCCAGGUGUGUAAACCUACUUAAAUCCUGAAAUAAAAACAGUGUACUUCAAAACUAAAUGCAACUGAAGAACAACACAGUGCAAAUUUCAAGUCUGCUCCUUUUCUUUCAGACUUGAGAAGAUCUGAU